AAUAAAGUGCCUGAUUUAAGGAUUACAAUGAUAAAGUAAACUAAGUAUAAUAAUUUUAUACCUUUAUUA
rnacentral:tRNA from 1 species